rnacentral:rRNA from 1 species
ACUUUCAGCAGUGAGGAAGGUGGGUAUGUUAAUAGCAUAUUCAUUUGACGUUAGCUGCAGAAGAAGCACCGGCUAACUCCGUGCCAGCAGCCGCGGUAAUACGGAGGGUGCGAGCGUUAAUCGGAAUUACUGGGCGUAAAGCGCAUGCAGGUGGUUUGUUAAGUCAGAUGUGAAAGCCCGGGGCUCAACCUCGGAAUUGCAUUUGAAACUGGCAAACUAGAGUACUGUAGAGGGGGUAGAAUUUCAGGUGUAGCGGUGAAAUGCGUAGAGAUCUGAAGGAAUACCGGUGGCGAAGGCGGCCCCCUGGACAGAUACUGACACUCAGAUGCGAAAGCGUGGGGAGCAAACAGGAUUAGAUACCCUGGUAG